rnacentral:rRNA from 1 species
UACGGAGGAGGCAAGCGUUAUCCGGAAUUAUUGGGCGUAAAGCGUCCGUAGGUGGCUAGUCAAGUCUGCGGUCAAAGACUGGGGCUUAACCCUGGAAAGGCCGUGGAAACUGACGAGCUAGAGUGCAGUAGGGGUAGAGGGAAUUCCCGGUGUAGCGGUGAAAUGCGUAGAGAUCGGGAAGAACAUCGGUGGCGAAAGCGCUCUACUGGACCGCAACUGACACUCAGGGACGAAAGCUAGGGGAGCGAAUGGG